GACGAACGCUGGCGGCGUGCUUAACACAUGCAAGUCGAACGGAAAGGCCCUGCUUUUGUGGGGUGCUCGAGUGGCGAACGGGUGAGUAACACGUGAGUAACCUGCCCUUGACUUUGGGAUAACUUCAGGAAACUGGGGCUAAUACCGGAUAGGAGCUCCUGCUGCAUGGUGGGGGUUGGAAAGUUUCGGCGGUUGGGGAUGGACUCGAGGCUUAUCAGCUUGUUGGUGGGGUAGUGGCUUACCAAGGGUUUGACGGGUAGCCGGCCUGAGAGGGUGACCGGCCACAUUGGGACUGAGAUACGGCCCAGACUCCUACGGGAGGCAGCAGUGGGGAAUAUUGCACAAUGGGCGGAAGCCUGAUGCAGCAACGCCGCGUGCGGGAUGACGGCCUUCGGGUUGUAAACCGCUUUCGCCUGUGACGAAGCGUGAGUGACGGUAAUGGGUAAAGAAGCACCGGCUAACUACGUG
rnacentral:rRNA from 1 species